AGGCGUAAAGACAUAUUUAUUGCAUCAUAAUCUUCAAUAAAAAAAUAAUCAAAAAGGAAUUAUGGCAUAAU
rnacentral:sRNA from 1 species